UUAGGCGUCAAUAGGUGUUAGUAAAAUCGGCACUAAGUAAUUUAUCUACAGAUUACGGAUAGAUUGAUUAUUAUCAUUAAUUUCAGCCACUGGAAAGCUUCAACUAUCUUCACUCACAAUGUAUCCAGCAUCAUUUUUUAUCUACGUGAAUUUAGUCGGAACUGUCGAGGUCUUUAGCAUUUGGACGGGUUAAUAUUGUACCAGUACAAAAAUAUCCAUCCAGUAUUGAAAUAGUGAUUUUCAAAACAAAAUUGAACCCCACUGCUUUUUCAUAAGUAUUAAUAAUAAUUGAAGUAUGAUAAAAGAUCUUUUUAACAGAGAAAUUUUGAUUUGAAUGUAAACAUAGUAUUGAAGGUUGGAGACUUUGCCAUUAAGAAAAAAGCCGCUCCAUACAAACGAAGUACAUAAUCAAAUAAAUAUUCAAGUAAAUAUUCAAAGAAGGAAUGUGAAUAUUUAAGAAUCAAACUCAACGAAAUUUUGUAAACCCGUCUGCUUGUGUAAAUAUCUAUAACUGUUGUUUAUCAGAUUUCCGUAAAAAUACGUAGUUUAAAAGUUACCCGGCCUCAAAGAAAAUCCGUAUAUCUUUGAAACUACAUAUUUUGACGAAAGCUUGAAAAACCAGACAAAUAUCAAUUUGAAAUAGAGAGAUAAAAGUUUACGCGAUAGAAAGAGGCUUUUAUUAAAUUUUAGGCCGCAGCACUGUGCGAGCAGAAUUGCACUUUAUUGCGUGGUAAAAAGAGUCGGUUUUUAUUUAAACUUCUUUCCGGGGUGAUCCUUUUGAACAGUACCACCAGUUUUAUAAGUUACGCCGAUGUACCUGCGCAGAAAGUUUAUUUUUGAAUGGCGCGAAAAUAUCCCAGCCAAUCAUAGCGCGCGUCCGGCUUGCGUCCGUCUGCUAUUGGUCGUUGCCUAUCCGCCAUGUUUUGUACGCGCGAAUUACGAAUGAAAUAGCACUUAUCUUUGUUGUUCUUGUGUUUAAAGUCUUGACGUCAAGCAAUAAGGUCUGUAUUUCAUUGGUAUACGUUCGCUUUUAGUCUGUUUUAGAUUGCGCAAACGAAUUUUGCCGAUGUGACUUAUAAAAGUGGUAGUAUUGUGCCUGGAUGGUAAGUUACUAUCAAGUAUUGUGGUAUUGGUACAAUAUACACCGUAACUUCGACACUGCAACAUCAUCCUUCAAGUAUAAUCGUCAUAAGAUCACAUUUUUUUAUAAGGCAAACAACAAUCUUUAAAGCUAAACCUUUGAUGAAGGGGUACAGAUCGUUUCACGUAAAAAUACCUCUGGCCGAUAGAGGGGAUGUCUGUGCAUGGUAGAUAUAAUUAAUACUAUUAACAUAGUACGCUAGAUGUGAUGUGGUGUACAAAAUAACAGUUAGUUUUUGUGCCGUUUUGAAGCGCCCAACCGAGCGUACCGGGAAUCAAAAUUGACACUGUCAUAUGGUCGUCGAAUUAACAGAUGUCUCAUUUAGCUCCGAGUACGCUCACUGCUAUCAGCGCCAAAAUGACGAUAGUCAAGUUUAAAAACAUGUCGUCAAUCGUAGAUCUAGCAUAGUACGUAAAUAGUAUCUACCGUGAUAUAUGGUUGUACAGCGUUCAACUAACAGUCUGCCAGACACCCGCGCCGUUAGCCAUCACUUCACCAACUAGGUCAGAACAAAUCGCCUUCUGCACAGGUACAAGGUCAACGGUAUUUUUUACGUGGAACGGACUGUAAAGUAGAGGGGUGGUGGGAAAGACGGCGAAAAACCGAUAACGAAACUUUUCGUGCGAGAAAAUCUUGGAAAAGAAAAACAAUUUCUAUGGAAUGGGAGUUUAUUCUAUUUCGGCUAAAAGUUUCAAAAAUCGUUCAAAAACUUAUUCGGGUAUACAGUCAGUUAUAUUCUAGGAACCUUAGAAGUAAAUUGGAAGUUUUUUUAAAAGAAAAAUAUUAAAAA